AUUGAACGCUGGCGGCAGGCUUAACACAUGCAAGUCGAGCGAGCGGCGGACGGUUGAGUAAUGUCUGGGAAACUGCCUGAUGGAGGGGGAUAACUACUGGAAACGGUAGCUAAUACCGCAUACCAUCAGAUGUGCCCAGAUGGGAUUAGCGAGUUGGUGGGGGAAUGGCUCACCUAGGGGACGAUCCCUAGCUGGUCUGAGAGGAUGACCAGCCAAACUGGAACUGAGGCACGGUCCAGACGCCUACGGUAGUCAGCAGUGGGGAAUAUUGCACAAUGGGCGCAAGCCUGAUACAGCCAUGCCGCGUGUGUGAAGAAGGCCUUCGGGUUGUAAAGCACUUUCAGCGAGGAGGCGUUACUCUCAGAAGAGGUACCGGCUAACUCCGUGCCAGCAGCCGCGGUAAUUC
rnacentral:rRNA from 1 species